GACACAAUUUUCACCAGAGUUGCUCAUUAAAUCAACAAUAUUCCGAUGGACCAGCAUUCCAUUAGCUUUAGCUACUAGAGCUGCUUGGCGAUUGAGAUGUGUUGUUCUGACGGAGGCCGCUGACGCCUCCACCCCUGGAGGGAAAAUGUCUUUCUUCAAAGAACAGUGGUCCCGUAAGAGCAUCCCAGUUGAGUCGGACGAGAGGAUGAGUCCCUGUGACCCUGAAUACAAUCCCCACGUCUGUGAAUGCAGCGAACAGGAGGGAGGCAUGAUCAGGCAAGGUCCCACCAGCUCCAUGUCGUACAGACUACCACAUGACCAGUAUGACGUCAACACGUCGGCGCGCUGCCAUGAUCUCUCUGAUGUGUCCUUGGAACAACCACGGUCUCUCAGAUCCACCUGUGGGCAGUCCAUUCCGCAAAGGUACCAGGCACAAAGUCAAGGUGGAGUUCCCACUGGUCACAGACAGUAUGCAUGCAGCCCUCUUGACCAUCCCCAUAACGUCAUGAGGCCCCCACAUCAGAACACUCCACUUGACCUGCUCCAACCUAGAAAUGCUGGACAAGCUUCGCCACUACAGAGACCGCCGCCUCCCAUAGAUGUGAUGCAUGAGCGCAGUCUGAACCCAGGACUGGGCCCAGGACCGGUCACGAGGGAGGUCCGACGGACCAUCAGCCUUCCUGAGGAGAGCAGAAAGGUCUUCAUCACGUAUUCAAUGGACAUAGCCAAGGAAAUCAUCCCGUUCACCACGUUUCUGAUCAACCAGGGCUUCAAACCAGAAGUAAGUCCUUUCAAAAAGUCUCAUGCCAGACUGAGAUUCAUGCAGGAAAUCCCUUUGCUCCUCUCCUCGUAG
rnacentral:lncRNA from 1 species